UACGAAAGGGGCUAGCGUUGUUCGGAAUUACUGGGCGUAAAGCGUAUGCAGGCGGACUUCUAAGUCGGGGGUGAAAUCCCGAGGCUCAACCUCGGAACUGCCUUCGAUACUGGAAGUCUUGAGUCCGGGAGAGGUGAGUGGAACUCCGAGUGUAGAGGUGAAAUUCGUAGAUAUUCGCAAGAACACCAGUGGCGAAGGCGGCUCACUGGCCCGGUACUGACGCUGAGGUGCGAAAGCGUGGGGAGCAAACAGG
rnacentral:rRNA from 1 species